rnacentral:lncRNA from 1 species
UUUUUUUAUUUUUUUUAUUUUUUUUCUAAUCAGAUGGCCCAGAAGAGGGGACAUGAUGGAUGAGAGCAUUAUUAGGAAGUUCUGAGAAGGAAAAAAGAGCCCUGCCAUCUGACUGCUUCAAACUAGUCUGAUGAAUGGCUCACUCAUGGUGGGCCCCCCUAAAAGUGACCCAAGAUCUGCAUUUAUUCCACUUUCUUGGCUGAUGCCAAGCGUCGACCGGCUCCGUUCCUCUCACUUCCCGCCUAAAACUUAUCAACCUGAAAUUAUCCCAAAAGCAACCAACCCAGAACACCUUCUUGCUCCCUGCAGCUGCCCUGAAGCCGCUCAAGGUAAGGCCACGUGCUUGUCUAGGCCGUGCGAGCUCCUCACUCACCCAGAUGGCUCACUCUUCUCGCACGCAUGCCCUGCAUUUGCCGCAAAGGACCAAACUCAGGUUGGACGACGGAAGGGCCCCGGCCUGGCUGGCGGCGGUGCUUGCUCAGUGCUGGAGCGUACAGCUGUAGGCCGGCUCUCACUCCUGGCCCCGAGAGGGUGGUCGUAUUGCACUUCUCGGAUUCCUCUAGCUCCCCAGGAACAGCGUGCCCUGCCCCGCGGGGAACCCGUGCUGGUGACCAUCGUGGCUACAUCUGGAGCGAGCACCCUAACAGUUGGGAAGCAGCAGGAUCUCCACCAGGUUGAGAGGUUGUUGGCAAUGGGAAGACUCCAGCCCACACAUGCCCGGCAGAAACAGACUCUGCACCCUAGCCCGGCAUCCAGCAUGUUCCCUGAAAUGGCACUGCUCGGGGGAUGCUAUUAAAUAUGACAAAUAUGUUCACACCACGUCUGUGCAAUCUUUUGCGGCCUCUCGCUUGGAAUCAGGACAGUGUGCAACCUGUGUGCCUUGUGAUUUGGGGCGUAUGAUGACCUUGACGCUGUUCCCCACACCUUUCCCAAAGACACCUUCUGUUUUCCAGCCAUGACAAUAAAGCUCUGGCUCCCCAAACUUCCUGUCUUCUCAGUUGGAAGGUGUACAGUUGACCUCCCCGAGCCCUCACCACCACCGUUUCGUUCACAUGGACGCCCACCCAUACUUGCAGACAUGUGGUUUGGUGGUGCUUCCUAGAGAAUGCUCGCCAGUCCCGGCAGAUGGGGUGAAGGGGGUGUGUCUACACUCCUACUGGCGCGGUGGGGACCAUGUCCAGAGCCUACUGACAUUCUGUCCCUGUACUUCCCUGACUUCCAUGCCUGGUUCUAGGAUGGAAAGAGUGUUUCCUUUCGUUUCUAAUGCUGCCCCCAGCACACGGCCUGGGGCCAUGGAGAUGCUGGGUAAAAGGUUCCCUGAGUGAAUAAAUGGGUGAGUGUUUCAGUCGAAUGAGUGAAUGCAUACAUUGUUUGCCAUUUUCCAAGUCAGGGUGGUCAAGAAUGUAUGCAAUGGUGGAAAAGACAGUGACUCCUCAUCUACCUAACAUUUGCUAAAGAUUCAAUACUAUCAUAUUAGAGGUUUUUUUUUUCCCUUUUUUUUUUAAUUUUUUAUUUAUUUAUGAUAGGCACACAGUGAGAGAGAGAGAGAGGCAGAGACACAGGCAGAGGGAGAAGCAGGCUCCAUGCAUCGGGAGCCCGACGUGGGACUCGAUCCCGGGUCUCCAGGAUCGCGCCCUGGGCCAAAGGCAGGCGCUAAACCCCUGCGCCACCCAGGAAUCCCAUAUUAGAGGUUUUUAAAAUUUUUUUUCAAUUUUGAAUCCAUGGAAAUGGCAUUUCCAUUAAAUAUAUAUUGAUGUUAUAUAUGCAUAUAUGUAUGUAUGAGAACAUUAUAUUUUCACAUAUAUGAUAAAUGUAAUAUAUACACAUAUGCAAUAUAUAAAAUAUGUAUGUAAAUAUAUAAAAAUCAAAAUUCUAUAAUCUGUGAUAUAUGUAAAGUAUAUAAAUUACAGAUUAUAACAUAUAGUUAU